CCUAAAAAAAAAAGAAAAAGAACAUUUUAACUGCAAUAGCCUACUAAAAGACUAAGCAUAUAUUUUUUUGUUUACAGGUGUUACAGUAUUAGUUUACUUUUUAUAAAAAAAAGUCAUACAUUGGAAAUACUUUCAAUGUAUGAGUCUGUGCAAAGAUUAAAUCAGUAAUAUUGCUCCUGUUUUCACUAGGCUUAGUGGAAAUAAAGUUCCUGCUGCAGAGGCAGUGAUGUGUGUGUAAAUGAAGCAGCAGGAUAUUGGCUGACCCUGGCCUGAGAUAAGAAGUUUUGUCUGAAGGCCGGUUCACGAGUCAACAGCGAUCGGCCUGAUAAUGUUUGGUCUGGAGACGGACGGUGGAUUUUAUCUCCAAAGGAGUCUGAAGACCAGCAAUGUCGGCUUGGCCUGUACAUGGUGAACAUUUCAUAACACUGUUAAAACUGUUGGCUGCUGGGAGUUACUUUAGUUUACAUAAAGACAGAAAAAGUACUUAGUUAUCAUCUCAACACUUUAAAAUUUUGACGUCUUCUUGCACCUUCAUGAAUAAUUCAAACUCUUUUUUUUGCUUCCUUGCUGGAACUUCCGAGUCCUGUUCCUAACAUUCCAAUAGAUUUUUGGAUUUCAGUGUUUUGUCUGUUUCACCAUCAAGAAGGAAACCUAUGUGUGCAGAGAGCCUUUGAGUUUUGCCUGAUGACAUAUCCAAUCUGCGAGUGCCUUUCAGAAGCUGCUUGACUUACAUUCAAGUGACAAGAUGGACAGCUGUGUCCAGUGAGGCAGCAGAGCGUGGAUUCAUCUUGCAGACCAAGAUCAAAAUUCUGAGAUGCUUACACUCAAACAGGUGCACAGUUCAGGUCCAUACCGAUCAGGAGGCUGUAGCAAGAGUGUGUGUUCAGGCCAUAGCAGACAACAUCAAAUUCUAGCGUAACCUGAUCAGACUGUUGCAGGUGUAAGGAGAACCGGGAAGUAAACGUUUGAGGGGGAACAAGCGUGUCUCACCUCCACCUGCAGCUCCUUGGCAGUGGCGGCCUGCAGCUGGGUGGGAACGGUGCACUCCAGGGUGUUUCCAACCAC